UGAGAGUGUGCGUCUGUCAGUGAGUGAGCGUCUGUCAGUCAAAGUGCGGCCUUGACAGGAAGGGGUGGGGGAAAUUUAAACUCGGUUACAGGCAUGUACACACACACUCAGUUAAAGGCAGUCACACAUACAGGCACAGGCACAAACAAUGGCACAGCGACACACACAGACAGACAGUCACAUAGGCAGUCACACACACAGACAG